UACGCAGGGCGCAAGCGUUGUCCGGAAUUAUUGGGCGUAAAGAGCUCGUAGGUGGCUUGUCGCGUCUGCCGUGAAAGCCCAUGGCUUAACUGUGGGUCUGCGGUGGAUACGGGCAGGCUGGAGGCUGGUAGGGGCAAGCGGAAUUCCUGGUGUAGCGGUGAAAUGCGCAGAUAUCAGGAGGAACACCGGUGGCGAAGGCGGCUUGCUGGGCCAGUUCUGACGCUGAGGAGCGAAAGCGUGGGGAGCGAACAGG
rnacentral:rRNA from 1 species